GGGGGGAAACUAUUCUGCACCCCGUGCAACUGUGUGUUGGAGCAUAAGAGAAAACCGACGGUGACGACCCACUUGGAUUCAUUCAAACAUUCGAAAAGGCUGUCUGCUGCUGCUACGGUGGCCGGCAGGUGCAAACGCGGAACAACGGCCCAAAACGCAUACAUUAGCAGGAAACGGCUGCAAAUCCUGAAAUGAAAAACAAACAAAUCCUGAAAACAAAUACAACAGAAAAACGCUGCAUUUACAGAAAUUAUGCAAACUAAAUACAACACACAAACCCCGAAAACAAACGCAACAAAAAAACGCUGCACGAUAUGCAAAGUCCAAAGCACGUACAAAUCCCAAAACACAUAAAAAAAAUAAAAAGAACAUUCCGGAAGUGCUCCAGGCCUCUAGGGGGCGCGCUACGUGGAACAGAUUGAUGUCUGACCAGACAGAGAGAACGAACAAGAGUGCUGCAAAUUGAAGCCGGAGGAAACAAAGUUGAUCGAAGUGGGAAAAGUCGAUAUAUAAGAAGGUGUGGGACAUUCCAAAUGUUCCAAAAGUGAGCACUCCACGAAUGGACAACAGUUUGCCAGGACCUCUCAGGCACCCACAACCAGCGUCUGAUCGGGAUGGAGCACCAACCCCAUUCCAGGAAGAGGUCCAGUCUGUCCCGCGUCAGAACAACUUCUAUAGGUAAACAAUGUUGACAGUUGCAUCGUGACACAGUUUUUCAAUUCAAUUCAAAACCUUUAUUUAUCCAGGUAAAAUCCCAUUGAGAUCAAUGAUCUCUUUUUCAAGGGAGACCUGCAGCAGUAGGUUCCACAAGAAGACAUAAACAACAGAACAACAA